rnacentral:rRNA from 1 species
GUAGGUGGCAAGCGUUGUCCGGAAUUAUUGGGCGUAAAGCGCGCGCAGGCGGUUCUUUAAGGGUCUGAUGUGAAAGCCCACGGGCUCAACCGUGGAGGGUCAUUGGAAACUGGAGAACUUGAGUACAGAAGAGGAAAGCGGAAUUCCACGUGUAGCGGUGAAAUGCGUAGAGAUGUGGAGGAACACCAGUGGCGAAGGCGGCUUUCUGGUCUGUAACUGACGCUGAGGCGCGAAAGCGUGGGGAGCAAACAGGAUUAGAUACCCUGGUAGUCCACGCCGUAAACGAUGAGUGCUAAGUGUUAGGGGGUUUCCGCCCCUUAGUGCUGCAGCUAACGCAUUAAGCACUCCGCCUGGGGAGUACGGCCGCAAAGGCUG